AACGGCCCUACCAUGCUGAAUAUACCGGUUCUCGUUAGAUCACCGAAGUCAAGCAUCAUUGGGAGAUGGUCAGUACUUGGGUGGGGGACCACCUUGGAACACCGCGUGC
rnacentral:rRNA from 1 species